GAAAAGAUCAUUCACAAAAUUUUAUUGCACACCACAGUAUAGCAUUGCCAAAUUUUCAACUAAUGAACCACAAAGUAGCACUAAAACGAAUUUAAAUCCAAUCAAGCCUAACGACGCAUAAGGUUUGAUCGUCAUUCAGUACUACCUUUGUGGUGUCAUCAACCUUUUUACACUGUCAUUCUUCAUAUAGGUCUAGAUAUUUUAAAAAUUAGAAUGUUCUUGUUAUCUAUUACAGGUAAGUAUCUAGAUAGGACUAUGUGACCAUAUCACAUACCUUAACUAAGAGAGCUAGGCUUUACUUUCAAGAACCACUCUAAUGCAAAUUGUUCCAGCCAUAUCCUUUCGAGAAGAAGAAAAAGAAGAACUAUGAUUUGAAUAUAAGGUUCAAGAAAAUGUUGAUAAUGGAAAAUAUCAUUGGUUCUACGAGGAGAAAAUUAGAAAUUCAAGAGAAUCAUGAUGAUUUGGAAGAAAUUCUUACUUCAAAUUGCAGUAAUCUCAAGAAGUGAUUGUACAAGUAAGAACAAUUUUUGAAAAAAGAAAAUUUAAGAGCAGGAUUUCGCGAUUUCUCAGGUUACAAUAUCAAGGAGUGAUUGUACAAGGCAGAACAAUUUUUUGAAGAUGAAGGUACACCUUAUGAUGCAACAGUCAGUGUUGCUUGAGUGAUUUUAGAAGGAGAAACUUUGCCAUGGCAAAUGAAAUUCAUGGAAAUAUGAGCCGGCAAGGAUAUAAUAAUGUGGGAUGAUUACAUUUAUGCUUUGAGAUUUAGAUUUUGCAAUCACAGUUAUGAGGGAACCGAUGGCCCUUAAUGAUUGCAAAUCUACUUAAGAUAAAUCGAGUUCUAAGAUGGAAGAAAAGAUCCUUCCAUGUUAAUUGGUUUUGAGCUCUUUUGCAUGUGCGAUGAAGAAUAGAGAUGCUAGAAAAUAAAAUAGAAGUUUUGGUGUCCAAGCUAUGCAGCAAGGCUUGAUAGAAAUAAAGAUAGAGGCUGGAAAUUUCUUGGAGGUGAUUGGAUUUGGUUUUCAAGGACUUAUCCCUACAGAUGCACCACCACCAAGGAAAAAGAAAUUAUAAUCUAGAAUAAUGAGUUAUCAGUCAAGAAUCUCUUCAUUUCCACUUGUGUACCACAAUUUUAAGGUUCUCUCUUUAGAUAUCAGUCUAGAUAAUAAUAGUCCAAAAACUAUCAGUGGUAGCUGCUGUAAAGUUACCAGUUUUCUGAUAACUUCCUUGUGCAUUACAAGCUUACA
rnacentral:misc_RNA from 1 species